UACGAAGGGGGCUAGCGUUGUUCGGAAUUACUGGGCGUAAAGCGUGCGCAGGCGGCCAUCCAAGUCAGUGGUGAAAGCCCGGAGCUCAACUCCGGAAUUGCCAUUGAAACUGUUCGGCUCGAGUACGAGAGAGGUGAGUGGAAUUCCCAGUGUAGAGGUGAAAUUCGUAGAUAUUGGGAAGAACACCCGUGGCGAAGGCGGCGUCUCUGGGACGUUCCGUGACGCUGAGGUUCGAAAGCGUGGGGAGCGAACAGG
rnacentral:rRNA from 1 species